UACGUAUGGGGCAAGCGUUAUCCGGAAUUAUUGGGCGUAAAGAGUGCGUAGGUGGUUACCUAAGCGCAAGGUUUAAUCUUGAGGCUCAACCUCAUUCUGCCUUGCGAACUGGGCUACUUGAGUGCUGGAGGGGAAAGCGGAAUUCCCAGUGUAGCGGUGAAAUGCGUAGAUAUUGGGAAGAACACCGGAGGCGAAAGCGGCUCUCUGGACUGAUACUGACACUGAGGCAUGAAAGCUGGGGGAGCAAACAGGAUUAGAUACCCCU
rnacentral:rRNA from 1 species